UACGUAGGGGGCGAGCGUUUGUCCGGAGUUACUGGGCGUAAAGCGCACGCAGGCGGUCUGCUAAGUUUGGAGUGACAGUUGGUGGCUUAACUGCCAAAGUGCUUCGAAAACUGACAGACUUGAGGGCUUCAGAGGGACACGGAAUUCCGGGUGGAGUGGUGAAAUGCGUAGAGAUCCGGAGGAACACCGGUGGCGAAGGCGGCCUGCUGGGAUCGAGCUGACGCUGAGGCGCGACAGCGUGGGGAGCAAACAGG
rnacentral:rRNA from 1 species